rnacentral:rRNA from 1 species
CCUACGGGAGGCAGCAGUGAGGAAUAUUGGUCAAUGGACGAGAGUCUGAACCAGCCAAGUAGCGUGAAGGAUGACUGCCCUAUGGGUUGUAAACUUCUUUUAUAUGGGAAUAAAAUGUUCCACGUGUGGGAUUUUGUAUGUACCAUAUGAAUAAGGAUCGGCUAACUCCGUGCCAGCAGCCGCGGUAAUACGGAGGAUCCGAGCGUUAUCCGGAUUUGUUGGGUUUAAAGGGAGCGUAGGUGGAUUGUUAAGUCAGUUGUGAAAGUUUGCGGCUCAACCGUAAAAUUGCAGUUGAAACUGGCAGUCUUGAGUACAGUAGAGGUGGGCGGAAUUCCUUGUGUAGCGGUGAAAUGCGUAGAUAUUAGGAGGAACACCAGGGGCGAAGGCGGCCUGCUGGACGACAACUGACGGUGAGGCGCGAAAGCGUGGGGAGCAAACAGGAUUAGAUACCCCUGUAGUC